GGCUGGUUAGCUCAGUCAGUUGAGCGUGGCGCUAAAAACACCAAGGUCAUGGGUUCGAUUCCUGUUCGGUCC
rnacentral:tRNA from 1 species